rnacentral:lncRNA from 1 species
CGACGGUGUGUGAGCGUGUGGGGAAGAGCUUGGUGAUGCAAGCCGUGUUAAAUCCAUGCUCAGAUAAUCCAAUGGCCGCCCUUAGCCCAGCACCACCAGCUCCCACAACCACCGCGUCAUAGGUGUGAUCCACUAUCGUGUAAUCACCUGUCUGCUGCAUGAUCAACAACAUGGAUACGAAGAAUAAGCAAAAAAAGCAAUUCUAACAAUACGCAAUCCCGAUCAAAUUCAAUACUAAAACUCAACGGACUCCGUGUUCCCUAUCAUAAGCUUCUGUUACUCGAGAUUCCACGCGUAUUUACAUAGGAUCGAAACGAUAAAACUAAGAAUCGGAGGAGAGAUCUUACGGAACCGGUGGAGAGGAAUCUAGAAAAGCGAGAUCCAGAGAGUGAGGUCCUUGAGGAAGGAGCACGAAGGCUACGAGAGACGCAGCGCCACAUCUUCUUCUUUUUGAAUCCACAAGCCGAUCAGAUUCUAUGCAAAAUGAAGAUGGUAGACGAAAUCGUUUCUUUUUUUGUUUACCUGAGAACUCGCGAGCGGAGUGAGAGAGAGCCACCGAGGUGAGGUGCUGCUUUUUAAAGAAAAAAUGGAAAACGAUGACUUCUUUAAAUUCCGUUUAUACCCUUACUCUCUCACGAUAACUACGCCUAAACCGGUUUGCUUUGGGAACUAAACCAACCCCCAAGGUUAGGCCCUCUCCCUCCUAUUGGUCAAUUGAUAACAUGUUUGGUGCCAAUUUUUUCUUUCUCGCCGUCUCAUUUUUUAGAUCCAACGAUGAAGGGGGUAACUCGAUCAAAAUGAUAGAAUAUUCAAAAUUAUCAAAUAAUUUUGAAAUAAUAAUGGCCCAUGUUUUUAUUAUCUACCAGUAACAUACUUAUCAUUUUAUUCCAUGCUUCCAUAAGUACUUUUUUUUUCUAUUUUUAUAUUAGAUUUAGCUUCAUAGUAUUCGAAAACGUAGAGAAGGAUACUAGUCACUCGUGGACGGUUCUAAUCCAGAAGUUGGAAACCUUUUGUGAGGAAACGAUUACGUUAGAAUAAAAAUAAUGAUUAGUUUAAAUACCAAUUCCGUUGUCGUCCAAGAGUGUCCAUGUGAACAGGCCUAUACUCCAACCUCACUUUCUCGUCUUCCCAAUACCCCAAUGUAUGCUUCAUCCAUUCUCCAUCCUCUCUUUUCUGCACCCACAUUCAUUAUUAUAUCAUCAUCAUCUUCUUUACAGUAUAUACUAAUGUAUGAGGAAAAGAAGGGGAAUCAAACCGUGAAAUCUUCCCGAGCAUGUGCUCCUCUGCUUUCCUUUCGUGCUUCCGCUGAAUGCAUUGUUAUUGAAGCGUUUAUCAAUAGGUUCUCCAGUUCUAUUGUCUCUAUCAGAUCAGAGUUCCUGCAUUCAUCAGAUAAGUUAGUCACAACUAACAAGGAGCUUUUUGUAACAUUGAUAAUUUAAUAAUCUCGACCCCAUGUGUAAAGUAUCGUUUUACCAUAUCAAACUCCGAUCUUUAACCUGGACAUCCUCGAAACUUUCCCAUGCCUUGUCGAUCAACUGACAACCUGCAAUAAAUUAUUCCAGGUUAAGAUAAAACUGGCGGCUUUUGCAGAUGGGAGAGAGCUCUUUAAUCCAGGACUAACUAAUAAGAUUAAUGUUUGUUACCUUCUUCCAAUGUUUCUUGCGUGCGGAAGACAGCUGCGUUGUUCUGCAUAAUCCUCUGCAUGUUCAAUCUGAUACUUGAUGUAGGAAGCGACCCGCUUGAGUGUCUCAACUUGUUCAGCCAUUCUAUCGUCUUCUUGCCUGCAUUUUCCUCCAGAGGCCUCUGUUUCUCCCCUGCACCCAUCGAGGAAUAAGGCAAAUAAAAAAACAUCAGAUUAGGCUCUUCUUUAUGUACUUAUAAUACAGUCUCGAGAGAUUCUAGAAAAAUUGACUAACCUGGUUUGCUUAUCUCUGCUACCCUAUUCGCACACGCACGGCCAAACACAACAAUGUCGAGGAGAGAAUUUGCACCAAGCCUGUUGGCACCGUGAACAGAUGCACAAGCUGCCUCCCCAGCAGCCAUAAGCCCUGGAACCACUGCAUCUGGAUCAUCUCCUUUGAUGGUCACUACCUGCACGACAAAAAAAAUAAAAAUUACUCCUGAUCUCUACUGCAUCUCAUAUUUCACUCUACACAAAUUUCAGUAAAAUUGCUUCAAAAGUUCAACGACUUCUGCUAUUCUUACCUCGCCGUGGUAAUUUGUUGGGAUACCACCCAUGUUAUAGUGCACAGUAGGCAAGACUGGAAUUGGCUCUUUGGUAACAUCAACACCAGCGAAGAUUGCAGCCGUCUCAGAUAUUCCAGGAAGCCUUUCUUUUAGAACUUCUGGUGGGAGAUGGUUCAAAUGGAGAUAGAUAUGAUCCUUAUGCGGUCCUGGCCAUUUUAGCAACGGUUAAUCCAAAACGAGUAUUAAGACUACAGAGUAUCACGAAAUCAAUUAUGGUCCUCAAAGACUCAUAAUGAGAGUUAGCUGAGAAAGUUGAAUCUAGCAUACCUACACCACGACCUUCCCUGAUUUCCAUAGUCAUAGAUCUAGAGACAACAUCUCUUGAUGCAAGAUCCUUGGCUGUAGGAGCAUAUCGUUCCAUAAAACGUUCACCUUCACUGUUUCUAAGGAUACCACCUUCACCUCGGGAUCCUGCAAUUGUUUAGUAGAGAAACACCAAAAAUAACCAUGUCAACCACAUUAUAUCUCUAUCGUGUAAGUAAAUGGACUAUGUGAGGACAAGAUGCUAACCUUCAGUGAUGAGACAUCCGGCUCCGUAAAUACCAGUUGGAUGGAACUGAACAAACUCCAAGUCCUGCAUAUGACGUAAUCAGACAAUAAUAUUAUUAGCAUACAGAUACGUUUUGCACCAUUUAUCUCAAAACUAAAUAGGUAGCAUACCUGGAGUGGAAGACCAGCACGUGCAACCAUGGCAUUGCCAUCUCCUGUGCAUGUAUGUGCUGAGGUUGCAGAGAAGUAUGCUCUGCCGUAACCCUGGAAAAAAAAAGAGGCAUCAUGUGAGUAAACUUGCACAAUUGGAAAAAUUCGUAACAUGAAAACUACUCAAAACUAGCUCACCCCAGUGGCCAAGAUUGUUUGUGCAGAGCGGAAACGGUGCAAUGUUCCAUCUUCCAUGUUUAGUGCAAUUACACCCUGGCAAGUGCCUGCAGAUCGGAUAACAAUGUUGCAUCAAUACUAACGGAAGCAAGAGAAAAAGGAAAAUAACUCCCAAACACUUACCAUCACUCGCCAUGAGCAGAUCCAGAGCGAAGUAUUCAACAAAGAACUGUGUGUUAUGCUUCAUAGCUUGUCCAUAUAAGGUAUGCAAGAGAGCAUGCCCAGUCCGAUCCGCAGCACAAGCACAACGAUAGGCCUGACCACCUGACGGUAGAAUAAAAAGAAAGCCAACAUGAGAAAAUCUACUAAAACAAUCAAAGUUCCCAAAACAAAGCCAGCAAGAGCACAUAUGAAAAAAUCAAAUGAAAUGAUCAAAAAGGUAGCAAGACGUUAGACAAAGUCACCUUUGCCAAAGUCAAGACUCUGACCACCAAAUGCACGCUGGUAAAUUUUACCCUCUUCAGUACGAGAAAAGGGCAGGCCGUAAUUCUCAAGUUCAAUCACUGCUUUUGGUGCCUCUCUACACAUAUACUGAAUGGCAUCUUGAUCACCUACACAAAGAAAAUCAAAAAACUGUUAAAUGCAGGCACAGCAACUGAACCACAUACUAGCAAGAGCAAUAAGCUAAUACAAAAGAAAAAGAAGAGUUGCAAGAUUACCAAGCCAGUCACUUCCUUUGACAGUAUCAUACAUGUGCCAUCUCCAGUCAUCUUCAGACAUGUUUCCCAGUGCAGCAUUAAUACCACCCUUCACAGUUUCCCCACAUCACAUUAAAGCUCAUCAAAUCUCAAAGAAACCAAAACUCCAUUACUAAUCAGAAGGGUAAAACGAAAUUAACCUGAGCAGCGACGGUGUGUGAGCGUGUGGGGAAGAGCUUGGUGAUGCAAGCCGUGUUAAAUCCAUGCUCAGAUAAUCCAAUGGCCGCCCUUAGCCCAGCACCACCAGCUCCCACAACCACCGCGUCAUAGGUGUGAUCCACUAUCGUGUAAUCACCUGUCUGCUGCAUGAUCAACAACAUGGAUACGAAGAAUAAGCAAAAAAAGCAAUUCUAACAAUACGCAAUCCCGAUCAAAUUCAAUACUAAAACUCAACGGACUCCGUGUUCCCUAUCAUAAGCUUCUGUUACUCGAGAUUCCAC